rnacentral:rRNA from 1 species
GACGAACCGUGCGAACGUUGUUCGGAAUCACUGGGCUUAAAGGGCGCGUAGGCGGCUCGCGAGGUCGGGGGUGAAAUCCCGCAGCUUAACUGCGGAAGGGCCUCCGAUACCGGCGGGCUGGAGGAAGGUAGGGGUGCGCGGAGCUUCUGGUGGAGCGGUGAAAUGCGUUGAUAUCAGAAGGAACGCCGGCGGCGAAAGCGGCGCACUGGACCUUUUCUGACGCUGAGGCGCGAAAGCUAGGGGAGCAAACGGG